GGGCAAUUAGCUCAGUUGGAUAGAGCGUUGGCCUCCGGAGCCAAAGGCCACAGGUUCGAAUCCUGUAUUGCCCACCA
rnacentral:tRNA from 6 species